GAAGUCCUACGGGGCGCAGCAGUGGGGAAUAUUGCACAAUGGGGGAAACCCUGAUGCGGCGACGCCGCGUGAGUGAAGAAGUAAUUCGUUAUGUAGAGCUCUAUCAGCAGGGAAGAAAAUGACGGUACCUGAGUAAGAAGCCCCGGCUAACUACGUGCUAGCAGCCGCGGUAAUACGUAGGGGGCAAGCGUUAUCCGGAUUUACUGGGUGUAAAGGGAGCGUAGACGGCAGUGCAAGUCUGGAGUGAAAGGCGGGGGCUCAACCCCCGGACUGCUCUGGAAACUGUACGGCUGGAG
rnacentral:rRNA from 1 species